rnacentral:snoRNA from 2 species
AGACCAUGAUGAGGACACUUUCUUAGUAGCUCCUUGAACCUUUCCCAAGUUUCAUAUAAGGAUUCCCCGUCCUCUUGCGAAUAUAAAAACGUUUGGGCU